rnacentral:lncRNA from 1 species
GUUCCUUAUAAAUAUGACCUUUCCACUAAAUAAAUAUGAAAAUGAAAAUGUGUGGUAUGAUUGUCAAUAAAACUACAAAUUACAAAAGAUCUAAAUACUUUUAAAUAUAAGACUAUGAUAAACAUCUGUGAAAAAAUAAGAUUGUGAGACAGAAAGUUUAACCCAUAUGUUCGGGUGUAAUACCCGUAAGAAAACGGUAUGAAUUUACUCGGGGAUUGACUCACUAAAAAUAAUAGGCGUGCACAUAUUAUAUUUUCAAUUGAAUAUAAAUCCUUUUUUGUUGAUCCAACAAGAGUGCACACGCUGAAAUGUAUCGCCUUCUUUGCUAACCAUUGAUAUUAUGUUGAUAGUCCUAAACAGAGUUGGGGUAAUUGUAAUUGUAAUCAUUUAUCAGCUGUAAUUGAUUAGAAUUUUUCAAGUAAUCAGUGUAAUCAUUACUCAG